AAUCAACGCUGGCGGCGUGCCUCAGACAUGCAAGUCGAACGAUUAAGACUUCCUUCGGGAAGUGCAUAAAGUGGCGCACGGGUGAGUAACACGUAAGUAAUCUACCCUCGAGUGGGGAAUAACAUCGGGAAACCGAUGCUAAUACCGCAUAAUGCAGCGGCACCGCAAGGUGACAGUUGUUAAAGGAGCAAUUCGCUUGAGGAGGAGCUUGCGGCAGAUUAGCUUGUUGGUAAGGUAACGGCUUACCAAGGCUACGAUCUGUAUCCGGUCUAAGAGGACGGUCGGACACACUGACACUGAAUAACGGGUCAGACUCCUACGGGAGGCAGCAGUCGGGAAUUUUGGGCAAUGGGCGAAAGCCUGACCCAGCAACGCCGCGUGAAGGAUGAAGUAUUUCGGUAUGUAAACUUCGAAAGAAUGGGAAGAAUAAAUGACGGUACCAUUUAUAAGCUCCGGCUAACUACGUGCCAGCCGCCGCGGUAAUAC
rnacentral:rRNA from 1 species